rnacentral:rRNA from 1 species
UGGCGAACGGGUGAGUAAUAUAUCGGAACGUACCCAAGAGUGGGGGAUAACGUAGCGAAAGUUACGCUAAUACCGCGUACGAUCUAAGGAUGAAAGUGGGGGAUCGCAAGACCUCAUGCUCCUGGAGCGGCCGAUAUCUGAUUAGCUAGUUGGUAGGGUAAAGGCCUACCAAGGCUACGAUCAGUAGCUGGUCUGAGAGGACGACCAGCCACACUGGAACUGAGACACGGUCCAGACUCCUACGGGAGGCAGCAGUGGGGAAUUUUGGACAAUGGGCGCAAGCCUGAUCCAGCAAUGCCGCGUGAGUGAAGAAGGCCUUCGGGUUGUAAAGCUCUUUUGUCAGGGAAGAAACGGUUCGGGUUAAUACCUUGGGCUAAUGACGGUACCUGAAGAAUAAGCACCGGCUAACUACGUGCCAGCAGCCGCGGUAAUACGUAGGGUGCAAGCGUUAAUCGGAAUUACUGGGCGUAAAGCGUGCGCAGGCGGUUUUGUAAGUCUGUCGUGAAAGCCCCGGGCUCAACCUGGGAAUUGCGAUGGAGAC